rnacentral:rRNA from 1 species
CGGUCUUCGGAUUGUAAACUCCUGUUAAGUGGGAAGAAAAGCUUAUCAUUAAUACGGGUAAGUUCUGACGGUACCAUUAGAGAAAGCACCGGCUAACUUCGUGCCAGCAGCCGCGGUAAUACGAGGGGUGCAAGCGUUAUUCGGAAUUACUGGGCGUAAAGGGUGUGUAGACGGCAUAUCAAGUCAACUGUUAAAUGCUCCGGCCUAACUGGAGACCUGCGGUAGAAACUGAUGUGCUUGAGGGUGGAAGAGAGAAGUGGAAUUCUCGGAGUAGCGGUAAAAUGCGUGGAUCUCGAGAGGAACACCAAUGGCGAAGGCAGCUUCUUGGUCCAUACCUGACGUUGAAACACGAAAGCGUGGGGAGCAAACAGGAUUAGAUACCCUGGUAGUCCACGCCGUAAACGAUGAUCACUAGACGUUAGUCCUGUUUUAACAGGAUUAGUGUCGCAGCUAACGCGUUAAGUGAUCCGCCUGGGGAUUACGGUCGCAAGACUAAAACUUAAAGGAAUUGACGGGGGCCCGCACAAGCGGUGGAGCAUGUGGUUUAAUUCGAUGCAACGCGAAGAACCUUACCUGCCCUUGACAUCCUCGGAACUUUCCAGAGAUGGAUUGGUGCCUUCGGGAACCGAGAGACAGGUGCUGCAUGGCUGUCGUCAGCUCGUGUCGUGAGAUGUUGGGUUAAGUCCCGUAACGAGCGCAACCCUUGCCCCUAGUUGCCAG